rnacentral:tRNA from 1 species
AUCCGCUACGGGCGAUGCGCUCGCCCUUUCAAGGCGGGUCACAAACAACGGGCGGGUUCGAAUCCCGUUGGGGACGCCA